UACGGAGGGGGCUAGCGUUGUUCGGAAUUACUGGGCGUAAAGCGCGCGUAGGCGGCUUUGUAAGUUAGAGGUGAAAGCCCGGAGCUUAACUCCGGAACUGCCUUUAAGACUGCAUCGCUAGAAUCGUGGAGAGGUGAGUGGAAUUCCGAGUGUAGAGGUGAAAUUCGUAGAUAUUCGCAAGAACACCAGUGGCGAAGGCGGCUCACUGGCCCGAUACUGACGCUGAGGCACGAAAGCGUGGGGAGCCAAAGCAGG
rnacentral:rRNA from 1 species